GAACAUUUGAUAAGUACUUUCGAGUUCCUUAAACCUCACUCAUCAACCAUAUUGAUAAAAUAACUUUAAAUAAUGAAUGAUCCAUAUGAGGCAUAGCAAAUCAUCUCUAUCAAUCACUCAUGUACACAUGGUAGUUUGUUUUCAAUCCAGAUGACGAAUUAUGUACCUGGAAAAAUAAGUUUUCUAUUCUUUCUGUUUCUCAUACUUAUAUACUUGUAAUUAUUUCAUAAACAAGCCAUAGCAGUAAGAAAAAUUGGUUAUAACUGAAAAGUCACAUAACACACAUCAGUAGGAAAAUAAUUAUUAUUGUUUAUAACAGAAACAUAUUAUCUAAAACAACAUAAUUAGGCGGUAAGAGUUCUGAUCCUUCAGUGGACUAGUUUUAUGACUCCACAUAACUACAAUUAUUUUUGUGUCUAAAAUAUGUUCGAGGAGAAACAAAAUAGAAGGAAAUACAAUAAGAACUCCCAAAUUAACAAGCAAGAGCAUCAGAAAAGUACCAUCUUUUGUCCUAAAUAGUUCACAGAAAAAGUACUCAUUUAUAUACGGAAAAUAAGAAAGAAGCAAGCACCAUAUGAAGAAUGUUCUCAGCAACAAAACAUUAGCAACACAAAAACUUUCUAUUAUACUACAUUAUUCUUGUUGUCUCUACAAAUAUAGUCUACUGAGGAGGAAAAUUGUCUGAAAAUACAAUGACCAACAUGUUUUCUGUAAUUACCAUUUAAUAAAUCUUCCAUAAUAGCCUUUUUUUUUCCUUGCCAUAUCUGAAAUUUGUUAGUUUCACAAUUUGAAUCUGAUAGAAUGAAAAAUUCUUUAGAUUUUGUUUAUAUAUGCCUUAAUAUUGAAAAAUUCUUUAGAUUUUGUUUAUAUAUGCCUUAAUAUGAUAUGAUGAAUUAGUAGAUGAAACAAAAUCCCUUCCAAAUAAAUAAGUAAAGAAAACAUUACUCAAAUAUAUCAUAAU
rnacentral:lncRNA from 1 species